AAUUAAAUAAGAAACUAUACUCAUAUAUGUUCUGGAUAAGGCAGGACGUCUCUACAAGGAACCAUUUGAAUUCCUGUCUAUGGGUGAUAGAAGCUGUAUC
rnacentral:ncRNA from 2 species